GACAGAGGUCUCAAGCGUUGUUCGGAUUCAUUGGGCGUAAAGGGUGCGUAGGUGGCAUGGUAAGUCGGAUGUGAAAUCCCGGGGCUUAACCCCGGAACUGCAUUCGAUACUGCCAGGCUAGAGUACUGGAGAGGAGAUUGGAAUUUACGGUGUAGCAGUGAAAUGCGUAGAUAUCGUAAGGAAGACCAGUGGCGAAGGCGGAUCUCUGGACAGUUACUGACACUGAGGCACGAAGGCCAGGGGAGCAAACGGG
rnacentral:rRNA from 1 species